rnacentral:rRNA from 1 species
UACGUAGGCAGCGAGCGUUGUUCGGAAUUACUGGGCGUAAAGAGUGUGUAGGCGGUGCUCCCAGUCUGUUGUGAAAUCUCCCGGCUUAACUGGGAGGGUGCAGCGGAAACUAGAGUGCUAGAGGGUGGGAGAGGUAAGCGGAAUUCCCGGUGUAGCAGUGAAAUGCGUAGAGAUCGGGAGGAACACCAGUGGCGAAGGCAGGUCACUGGGCCGCAACUGACGCUGAGGAGCGAAAGCAUGGGGAGCGAACAGG